UACGUAGGGUGCAAGCGUUGUCCGGAAUCAUUGGGCGUAAAGAGCGUGUAGGCGGUCCGGUAAGUCUGCUGUGAAAGUCCAGGGCUCAACCCUGGAAAGCCGAUGGAUACUGCCGGGCUAGAGUUCGGAAGAGGCGAGUGGAAUUCCUGGUGUAGCGGUGGAAUGCGCAGAUAUCAGGAGGAACACCUAUAGCGAAGGCAGCUCGCUGGGACGACACUGACGCUGAGACGCGAAAGCGUGGGGAGCGAACAGG
rnacentral:rRNA from 1 species